AUGAUGUCGUCGACGCCAUCGUCGACAAGUACGGCUGGUACCCCGACGCCGAGGGCGCGCUCGUCGACGCCGUGCAGUGCUACGAGUUCCCCGCCCGCGUGGGGCCCCGCGGUCGCGCUGGCGCGGGCCUCCUACGGGGCCGUCGACUGGAGCCGCCCCGACGCCCCCGCGGUGGGGGAGGUGGUCGGGCCCGACGGAGUCGACUUCGUGACCGGCGAUGGCGACCUGGCGUUCGGCUCCGGCGUUAGGGUCCGUGACAUGGUAGGGCCGUUCGAGCUGGUGGUCUGCGAUGGCGCUGGCAGGGGCCGCGCAGAGCUCUAG
rnacentral:rRNA from 1 species